rnacentral:rRNA from 1 species
UUUGAUCCUGGCUCAGGAUGAACGCUAGCUACAGGCUUAACACAUGCAAGUCGAGGGGCAGCAUGAAGUUUGCUUGCAAACUUUGAUGGGCGACCGGCGCACGGGUGAGUAACGCGUAUCCAACCUUCCCUAUAGUAGAGGAUAGCCCGGAGAAAUUCGGAUUAAUACUCUAUGUUCUUCCAUGCGGACAUCUAAUUGGAAGCAAAGGUUCACCGCUAUAGGAUGGGGAUGCGUCUGAUUAGAUAGUAGGCGGGGUAACGGCCCACCUAGUCGACGAUCAGUAGGGGUUCUGAGAGGAAGGUCCCCCACAUUGGAACUGAGACACGGUCCAAACUCCUACGGGAGGCAGCAGUGAGGAAUAUUGGUCAAUGGGCGAGAGCCUGAACCAGCCAAGUAGCGUGCAGGAUGACGGCCCUAUGGGUUGUAAACUGCUUUUAUACGGGGAUAAAGUGUACCACGUGUGGUGUUUUGUAGGUACCGUAUGAAUAAGGACCGGCUAAUUCCGUGCC